rfam:Pyrobaculum aerophilum str. IM2, complete genome.
GGGGCGCCGAGGGGACGGGGGGAGCCCGGAGACGGGCCCCUUCUGGAACCUCCCGCACCGCCCGCGGAGGCUCUCGGCGGGCCGCCGAAAGGCGGGGGUAAAAACCAGCCGGGGGCGCGGCCCCCAAGCAGGGCCUGUGAGGCCGCGGCGAGGCCCGGGUAGGGGGUGAGAUAGAUACCGAACAGAAGCGGGGGUACGCGGCGCCCC